rnacentral:tRNA from 1 species
GGCGCCAUGGCUUAGUUGGUAAAAGCACCUGUCUAGUAAACAGGAGAUCCUGGGUUCAAAUCCCAGUGGUGCCU